AAUCAAAUUAAGCUAUAAUUAUAACCGAAGAAAACUGUACAGGAAUUCUAAUUAAUUCAAAUCUGAACAUGUCCAAGAGGAAUGCUCCAGCAACCCCACUUCUGAAUAAAACAAAACAAAAAUAACCCUUGGAUAAUGCCUUCAGAUUGCACAGGAAAUUAAGAAAUACUUCUCGGCUGGAAUAUUCCAGGCAUUCCUUACUAAAUGGUGAGAGAAAUUCCCUUCAAUGCCUGAGCACUUGGCUUUUCAGGUACACACCAUAUAAAGCAUGUAGUUGGGGGGCCCUUAACUGGGCAGGAUUUGAAGACAGAGCGGACCGAGGGAUUCCACCGUACGUGUUAGAGUGGUGGGGAGUGUGGGAGGAAGGAGAGUGAUUUUCUCAGGGAAGCUUCCAUCUUAUCACUUUGUCAUCAUCACAUGUGGCCUCCAUAGUUGCCACCGAAAGGAAAAAGAGAGAUGGCUUAUAUCCCGGACGCCUUUAAGGAUUGGAUC
rnacentral:lncRNA from 1 species